CACACAAAGCACGCCGGCCUAAUCCCCACACACGCCGCCAAGGCCUCGCCGGACAGUCAAAACAUCGCCACUGGACUGCGUCAGGCUUUUGUUGUGGCCAACCUUGAGUUCUCGCUUGGCUGGCUCAUCGCGGACGUGAGGCUCAAUAUGGCUCUGCAGCGCCAUCUGGCCAGGCAGUCAAGGCGGCCCCGUGGUUCCCGAAACAAGUCCCCGUCCUCCCUAUCAGCGCCAGGACCCGCCAGGCAGCCUUGGGGUUUAUAGGUGACCCUGACCCCGGGAAGCGGAGAUGAGGGCCCCGGUGAAAAGCCACAACCAGUUCCCAGCAGGUGACCUCCCACAACCCGGCUAUGGCAGCCCUCCCAGCCACGGACGCGCCGAGCCUUAUCAGUCCCGCCUGCCACCCGCCACCCUUUCCGCCCCGCCACUGGUGUAAACAGCUGGCUAAAGGUUACUCAUCCACCGCCUAUCGACAGAUCAGCCUCAAUUCCCCGCCCACCUCGGCGCCGCCCUGGCUGCACGUGCUCGCCGCGCCUCUCCGCCCAUCCCGGGAGGCGCAGCGCGGGGGGCGGGGCUCCUAAUGGGCGGUGAGGAUCGAGACCACUUGGGCGGCAUCAUGUGAAGCUUAUGUUUCCCUCCCAACAAAUAUCCUGACAGCUCUUGUUAUUAACGCACGGAGGCACAAACACGGAGGCGAACACACACACACACACACACACACACACACACACACACACACACACACACACACA